rnacentral:rRNA from 1 species
ACGUAUGUUUCGAGCGUUUUCCGGAAUCACUGGGCGUAAAGGGCGCGUAGGUGGCCCGUUAAGUGGUCGGUGAAAUCCCGGGGCUCAACUCCGGGGCUGCCGGCAAGACUGUCGGACUUGAGCACGGUAGGGGCAGAUGGAAUUCCCGGUGUAGCGGUGGAAUGCGUAGAUAUCGGGAAGAAUACCAGUGGCGAAGGCGUUC